AUGCUCGGUUAUGCAGUUCAAAAAUUUAAAAGGUAUUUUACAAGUUUGUGUUCUCCUCUUAUGCCCCCACGAUUGGACCAUAAUAUGAACAUGAUUAAAUAUGACGGUCAGUACAUUCAUUGUUUCUGUUUGAGCUUUUCACCACAGUCCACUCCUAUUGUAUUUCUUGUAUCUCAGGCUAUUCUGGUUCAUUACUCUCUACUUCUUUAUUUGUACCUUUUACCUCAACUUUCUCAGGCUUCUUUGUCUUCCAUAUGUGUUUCUUUGGUUGCAUGA